GUUUGGUGAGUUUAUAGACAAGAGAACAGGUUCUGCCAAUUCACCACCAGUUUGUAAAUUCUGAGUUGCGCUUAUCUGAGCCUAUGUUCCCAAAGACCAAUCACUGAUCACCAUUGUUUCCUCCACAACCAAUCACUGAUUACCAUUGUUUCCCUAACAACCAGUUACUGUUCACCAUUAUUCUCAACAACCAAUCACUGGUCACCAUUAUUCUCAACAACCAAUCACUGAUCACCACUGUUUCCCAACAGCUUCUGAUUACCAUUGUUCUCAACAACCAAUCACUGAUCACCAUUGUUUACCCAACAGCCAAACACUAAUCACUCUCAUCUUGAUGAAAUUUCCUUCAUGUCUAUUGCCCAACUAAUCACUACUGCUGCCUCAUUUUGUCUGCAUUCUUGAUAGAAAUCACAGUAUUUUGUAAAUAAAUAAAUAUUUAGUUGUGGAAUGGCCAAAGACGACUUCCUUCUUUUUUUUUCUUUCUUUCUUUUCUUUCUUUCUUUCUUUCUUUUUUUUUUUUACAAGAAAUACUUUAGAAUCUAUUAUUUUCUAUUCUGAUAAAAUUAUUCUAUUCUUCAGAAAAGCUUCAUUCCUCAUGUAACAUGUUCUUUGAUAUGCAAAUAAUCAUGACGAUUCAAUGAAUAUGCAAAUUAGCCUUUUGACAUAAUCUGGUGGUUUCUAUGAGUUUCAAGCAUGCACUGGCUACCUUCUGCUGAAAAGAGUCUGCAACACUGGUGGGGAAUGUCGAUUAGUUGGGAUGGUGGAAAAACAGUAGCGAGGCAGAUCGUAAAGAAUGCAGGAAAUAUUUCAGACUAGACAAAGCCAGUUCUACAGCUCUACUGCAAGUCACUUUUUUUUUUUUAAUGGAAUGUGAUACUUUAUAGUUAACUGAAGAGGUGUAGAUGAAACUGUCAUUUUUUUGCUUCCCUCUCACUCCCACUCCUGAAGGAAGUCUGACCCAUUCCACCCAGUCCCAACGUUAUUUUUCUUUGUACCUGCACAUAAUUUCUCAUGAACAUUGUAUUUACAAAACUAUAAAAAAAAAAAAGGCAAUUUAAACCAUAGUGGCCCUGACCAGAAUAAAGCACUUACUAAUGAGAAAUAAAUGAAUGAAGAAAUCCAGAUUUACGCCAGAUACUCAGAGACAUACAAAACCCGUUAAUCAUUUAAUGGCCUUUGUCUCACAAGCUUUACAUCGAACCUCCUCUCCCAUCCACAUGUCACGCUCCCAUGCCAUAUCCAUCUUCUAUACCGCUUUAUCCUUUUCAGGGUCACGGGGAACCUGGAGCCUAUCCCAGGGAGCAUCGGGCACAAGGCGGGGUACACCCUGGACAGGCUGCCAAUCCAUCGCAAGGCACAAUCACACACCCAUUCAUACGGACACUUUAGACAUGCCAAUCAUGUCUACCAUGCAUGUCUUUGGACUGGGGGAGGAAACCCCUGCAGCACAGGGAGAACAUGCAAACUCCACACACACAGAGCCACGGUGCGACUCGAACCCCCGACCCUGGAGGUGUGAGGCGAACGUGCUAACCGCUAA
ensembl:lncRNA